AGGACGAACGCUGGCGGCGUGCUUAACACAUGCAAGUCGAGCGGAAAGGCCCUUCGGGGUACUCGAGCGGCGAACGGGUGAGUAACACGUGAGCAACCUGCCCUUGGCUCUGGGAUAGCCUCCGGAAACGGGGAUUAAUACCGGACAUUCACUUUCUCCUGCAUGGGGGUUGGUGGAAAGUUUUUCGGCCAGGGAGGGGCUCGCGGCCUAUCAGCUUGUUGGCGGGGUAACGGCCCACCAAGGCGACGACGGGUAGCCGGCCUGAGAGGGCGAUCGGCCACACUGGGACUGAGACACGGCCCAGACUCCUACGGGAGGCAGCAGUGGGGAAUAUUGCACAAUGGGCGCAAGCCUGAUGCAGCGACGCCGCGUGGGGGAUGAAGGCCUUCGGGUUGUAAACCCUUUCACCAGGAGCGAAUUCAGACGGUACCGUGGGAAGAAGCGCCGGCUAACUACGCGCCAGCAGCCGC
rnacentral:rRNA from 1 species